UACGGGGGGGGCGAGCGUUGUUCGGAAUCACUGGGCGUAAAGGGCGCGUAGGCGGCCCGCACAAGUCUGCGGUGAAAACCUCCGGCUUAACCGGGGGCCGGCCGUGGAAACUGUCGGGCUGGAGGCUGGGAGAGGGCAGCGGAAUUCCCGGUGUAGCGGUGAAAUGCGUAGAGAUCGGGAGGAACACCGGCGGCGAAGGCGGGUCUCUGGGCAACAACUGACGCUGAGGAGCGAAAGCGUGGGGAGCGAACAGG
rnacentral:rRNA from 1 species